rnacentral:rRNA from 1 species
UAAUACAGAGGGUGCGAGCGUUAAUCGGAAUUACUGGGCGUAAAGGGCGCGUAGGCGGUCUAUCAAGUGAGAUGUGAAAUCCCCGGGCUUAACCUGGGAACUGCAUCUUAAACUGAUAGGCUGGAGUACUGUAGAGGAUAGUGGAAUUUCCGGUGUAGCGGUGAAAUGCGUAGAGAUCGGAAGGAACAUCAGUGGCGAAGGCGACUGUCUGGACAGAUACUGACGCUGAGGCGCGAAAGCGUGGGGAGCAAACAGGAUUAGAUACCCUGGUAGUCCACGCUGUAAACGAUGAGAACUAGAUGUUGGUGGGCCUAGCCCAUUAGUAUCGAAGCUAACGCGAUAAGUUCUCCGCCUGGGGAGUACGGCCGCAAGGUUA